rnacentral:rRNA from 1 species
GAGGGUUAAAGCAAGGCAGAUUCAUUUUCUGCCACCGAAUACAUUAGCAUGGGAUAAUGGAAUAGGACCCUGUCCUCCUUUUUUCAGUUGGUUAAUUCAUGAGAGAGGAACAGGGUAAUGAUUAAUAGGGAUAGUUGGGGGCAUUAAUAUUUAAUUGUCAGAGGUGAAAUUCUUGGAUUUAUGAAAGAUUAACUUCUGCGAAAGCAUCUGCCAAGGAUGUUUUCAUUAAUCAAGAACGAAAGUUAGGGGAUCGAAGACGAUCAGAUACCGUCGUAGUCUUAACCAUAAACGAUGCCGACCAGCGAUUAGGAGACGUUGAAUACAAAACACCUCUAUAUACAAUUCAGUAUAUGGCUUCCCGGGUGUGUAUUGUGUGUGUAUAUAUACACGGAAAGAGACCCCCCUCCCCCCGUGAGAAAAAACUUGUGAUAA